rnacentral:rRNA from 1 species
AAGGAAUAUUGGUCAAUGGACGCAAGUCUGAACCAGCCAUGCCGCGUGGAGGAUGAAGGUCCUCUGGAUUGUAAACUUCUUUUAUCUGGGACGAAACACUUCUUUUCUAAGAGGCCUGACGGUACCAGAUGAAUAAGCACCGGCUAACUCCGUGCCAGCAGCCGCGGUAAUACGGAGGGUGCAAGCGUUAUCCGGAUUCACUGGGUUUAAAGGGUGCGUAGGUGGGUAUGUAAGUCAGUGGUGAAAUCCCCGAGCUUAACUUGGGAACGGACACUGAUACUAUAUAUCUUGAAUACCGUAGAGGUAAGCCGAAUAUGUCAGGUAGCGGUAAAAUGCUUAGAGAUGACAUGGAACACCAAUUGCGAAGGCAGCUUACUAUGCGGUGAUUGACACUGAGGCACGAAAGCGUGGGU